UCUCCCACAUAAACGCUGGCAGCAUCAACACGCGGCGGGGUGACCUUGUGUUCCAUUACGAGGGAAAGUAAAUGUCCUGUUUGGGAUUUUUGGUGACAAUGCUGCGGUUACCUUGACACAGCUAGGUGGACUCAUCUUCCAUAGCUGGGCCAAAAUGACACAUUUGGUUAAUUCAUGCCGAGACAUCCUAUUGGUUGCUAGCAAAUCUGUAGGAAAAGAGCAACCCUUCCAUUUAAAUUUGCUCUUUGUGCAAAAACUAAAAGUGACAAGAGUCAUCAGGAAUUGAACAGCCCAUUCUUUUAUUGUAGCUUUGACACACAAAGUUCUCUCUCAAGUGACAAUCCAUCUAACAAAAAAAAAAGUGGUGAGUCUUGUUAACUUGUUUAUCUUGGAGGGACAAAUACAAUUGUGGCAAGCCAAAACAAUGAGCAUCCAUCCACCAGACAGAUUUUCCCAUACGGCCGGCCGGCGCUAAAGCACAACGUGUACUUGCCGCCUGGCCGCCGCUUCUGGGGGCUGGCAUCCGAGCCAGCGAGCCAGCGGAUAAACGGCAGACGGAACAGCCUGUGAGAACACACUGUUCUAUAACAGAACAUUGCAAGAAGCCAAUCCACCGUUGGAUGCUUUCCAGGGCUCAAUGGCAAAAAGCGAGGAUAACAUUACUAAGUGCUUUUCAUGAGCGCACGUCAGAAGCCCAGAGAAAUGCGAGGGCAUCCGCCACAGUCCUCGACAGUGAUUUCAUUAGCCCCGCCUGACAUUUUUGCCACCAAAUACCAGUCACCCUGUGUGGCCCGGUACCAAAUGGCCCGGGACAGUGACUAGUUCGGUUCAUUAACCCCUAGGUUUGUGUUAUGUGUGAGAGGCCCGCUUGGCCUGGUUAUGCCAUCACACGCGCGCGACCCAUUAACUUUUGUUGCGGUAAAGCUCCCCGAUGAACGAGGCAGGAGGUCAUUGCGGGAAAAGGCGCCCAACUCAAGCAUGUAAGCAUGACUCAUGUUUUAAAAAUGAACACAUAAGACGAUGGGUAGAAGGUACACCUGAAGGCCCCUCCGCUCGCUCCCGCCCGCCCCUUAGCAACAACGCUAAAAGAGAUGUCUCCUUCAAGGCUGAAGGGACAAAAGCUGCCACGGGGAACAAAGACGGCCAGUGAGGAACACACACCCCCCGCAACGGGCCAGAUGGUCAGCGUUCAGAGCCCAUGACCCCUCCAGCCUUGGUCCUGGCGGAGAGCAUGCAACAUGGUGGCCACCCAACCAACCAACAAGCAAGUGUGGGCUCACAUGAUAUUGCUAACCUUCAUAGAGUCACUUGACCCCCGUAACUCUCCCUGGUGGAGCUUUUGUUCUUACACUCAUUUAUUGGCCACUCCAGAAUCAUUUUGAAAGCCUUUUUACGCAAGUGCAAUGCAUGUUAGCAAACAGCAGCAGUGUGACUAUGUCAUGACAUGAUCAUGUUAUUAACAUCAUCCAACUGCGCAAUUCCACUCCGGACCAAUUCAUUGAUUAUUUUUUUUGUAUUAUUCAUAUAAUAUUGAUGAGAAUUGUGCUCCCAGGAUGCAUUGAUAGGUUUAGCUCUAUAAGCAGGUUCUUCUUCAGGUAACUUGUUGAAAUUGAAGCAACAGCGCCUCUGCUGGUUACAGCCAAGCACUGCGCUUUGCUAUUCUUAAUUGUAGAAAUGGUUCAUUUGGCAAAUCCACGAAUCCUCGGCUAAAUUGAAUUAGCUUUGCCUUUACGAUUCAAAUUGAUCAGCAACAAUGGCCGACUUGAACGAGCAAUGGCAAUGUAUCGUCUGGGUCAGUCUGGCUCUGUGUGCACAUUAAGCUCCUGAGGUAUUUACAAAUUACAAACAAGGAGAGGAGGACGAGCGGGGGAGUCUGGGACGAGGAAUGCAACCUUUAGGACAGCGGCCGCGUGGAAUGGCAGAUUAGGCUCGGUGAAGACCGACUGGUUUGCCUGUAAUUACAGUCACGGAGCAUCUCCCUUGCUAGCUAGCUCUUAUCUGAUAUGACUUUAUCUGAGGAGCCCGAGCUUGUUUCGACACUAUAGCCUGCGGGGCAGCCACAGGAACGCUUGGCGGCGUGUAAAUCAAGACAUUCGGGUGGGUGUCAAACUCAAGGCCUUCGGGCCACGUACGGCCCUUAGAUGUCAAGUUGGAGCCUAGCUGUAGACUUGAAGAUCUUUUUGCCACUAUUGCUGCUCCAACUAACUAGGAAUUGACCUGAUACAUGUCCCCCCCCCUUGUUGUAUAUUUGACUAUUUAAAUAAAUACAAAAAUAAGUUUAACAUUUCACUUAUUUAGAAAUUUUGGAAAAUGAUUUACUAUAGAGAAUCAAGGAGUUAUUUCAUUCUUUCUGUUUUAAAUUCGGAAGAUACGCUGACGAUUGUGUACUGUUCUGGAUAUAAUGGCUUAUCAAGAAGAAAUUGAAAUUUGUUGAAUAUAUUUUGCGCAACGUGCCAUACACAGAACCUAAUCACACACAUCCAAGCCGAGAGAGUUUAAGGGCAUGCAAACAGUGUUGCAUCUCUAGCGGAAGGGUGCACACGGUGACUAAAGAGCACAUCGAUAGUAACCAAGAAGCAGAGUCGCAUCUCUUCAACAACCAGUCAAUUUUACACUUUGGCCUCAACAAGACUUGACCCUCAGGUUCUAAACUUAAAGUCCCCACACAUGUGCUUCUACUGUCAAAUCAUCUCAUUUAUUGAACACGGGAGAACGUGCAAACGAGAUUUUAACCUCGGACCUGAGAACUGCGAGGCAGCGCUCUGUCGACAUGACAAAUUUGGCAGUGCUCCGCCAUGACACUGGUGUGACACUAGUAAUAACACGUCGUGUAAUGGGGGAAGGGGGAAAGGA